CCCCCGUUUUUGUCCAUCUGAUGCAGCAAGCAUAUGCCAGACACCUCCAAGAGUCAGCUCACUUCAAUUUCCAAAUGGAAGCAAUGACUGUGCUAAAAGGCUACAAUCUGCAGGUUUUCCUUGAUUUUCUUGUGCCAUUCCUGCUUGCGUUGGAGACUAGCAGAUCAGAGAGAGCAGUGAAAGGCUACCAAAAAAACAACAGCACAUGCUGGUGCAAGCUUUAAUAACAGCUUUUGUUUGCAUUGUGACGUGUUUCUAUACCCUUGAGCGAAGGACAUGAUACCAAAGGACUGCGCUGUCAUGUUCAUCAUCUGCCUGGGAGCCACCCACUGCACUAAGGAGGAAGGAGUGCAGGCUUGGGCACGCUGAACUUCCCCGUCUGUCACCUUUCUGCUGGGGACUGAACUGCCAUCGCGUGGACAUUUUACCAACUUGCACAUUCCCAUAAACACAAAGAGCAAAGACUUGGGAGACGAACAGAAGAGCAGAAAGCUGGGAACCAUUAGUUGGUGUGAAGUUACAGGCUGAAUUUGAAAAAUUGAUGUGACAUAAGGCAGAAACAGUGUCCAGGUGGAAUAUGAGGAUUUCGGUCCUUCUGCCCGUCUCUGGAGGAAUCCCACAGGAAGCACUGCCGAGGCACUCAUCCGUGAAGUCUUGAGGAUUUUGCCGUGUCCGAGACAUGGGGUUCCUAAUGCACAUGGUCAUGCAGACAUUAUGCAGGGAUGCAGAUUUUUCUACACAGGCUGUGAAACAUCUGAAUGUUUUGUUUAACUGAAGGGAAAUAAUAUUCAUUGUGUCUGUACACACUGUGCCUUCACCUUCCUCCAUUUGAUCGUGUCACAUAGUCCCUAUAUUGUUGCAGACAACCAUUUGCUUUUAAUAGUGCAAAAGAUAAAGUUCUCUGCUCCAGUGAUUGGAAAAUUCUGGACAGAAAAUGUAUAUUCUCAAGCUUUCUAGUUGUAUGGUUGUAGCUCCGCUUACUAUUGAAUCUACCAUAGCCUGAGAGUUCAGAUAGAUUCAUAUUUUGUGUAUCUUUGAACCCAAGACACGAACGCCGCGAUGCCAGCAGCCAUCUGGCUCAGAGUAACACCAGUGAGGAAUAUAACCAGGUUUCAAAAUAUUCAGUGAAGUGCACCUCCAAAACCCACCUUCUUCUGAUGGCCAAGUAAGAAUAUCUGAUUUCCCUGUGGGUUUUUUCCUAUUAUUAUGACAGACAAUGUGAAAAGUAGUGAGGCAGAUGACCUUAUUUGGAGUAAGACCAUGCAGAAUUUUUAACCAAAUAUAGGAGAGACAUUUACCUUAAUCUGCGUCCCCUUAAACAGUCAGCGAUUACUUCUCUGUUACUAGUCAUUUGCUGUGCGCUUUGUUGCUGUGUGCUUACGGUUAUGUUCAUUCAUGCACCAGCUCAAAGGAAGAAAAUAAAAUGCAUACUUUAAUGCAAACAUUUGGUUAUUUUUAUUAUAUAAAACAAUUUGCAGUAUUAUAACUAAUACUACAAAAUGUGGACUUAAAUUGUGUUACCAGCACAAUUCAAUACGUGACCCUAUUUUAAAUUCAGUU